rnacentral:rRNA from 1 species
GAUGAACGCUAGCGGCAGGCUUAAUACAUGCAAGUCGUGGGGCAGCAUGAGUGUAGCAAUACAUUUGAUGGCGACCGGCAAACGGGUGCGGAACACGUACACAACCUUCCUAUAAGUGGGGAAUAGCCCAGAGAAAUUUGGAUUAAUACCCCGUAACAUAAUGAUGUGGCAUCACAUUAUUAUUAUAGCUUCGGCGCUUAUUGAUGGGUGUGCGGCUGAUUAGAUAGUUGGCGGGGUAACGGCCCACCAAGUCUACGAUCAGUAGCUGAUGUGAGAGCAUGAUCAGCCAAACGGGCACUGAGACCCGGGCCCGACUCCUACGGGAGGCAGCAGUAAGGAAUAUUGGUCAAUGGACGCAAGUCUGAACCAGCCAUGCCGCGUGAAGGAUUAAGGUCCUCUGGAUUGUAAACUUCUUUUAUCUGGGACGAAAAAAGGCGAUUCUUCGUCACUUGACGGUACCAGAUGAAUAAGCACCGGCUAACUCCGUGCCAGCAGCCGCCGUAAUAC